AGACGAACCGUCCAAACGUUAUUCGGAAUCACUGGGCUUAAAGGGUGCGUAGGCGGCGCGGAAAGUUGGGUGUGAAAUCCCUCGGCUCAACCGAGGAAUUGCGCCCAAAACUUCCGUGCUCGAGGAAGAUAGAGGUGAGCGGAACUUAGGGUGGAGCGGUGAAAUGCGUUGAUAUCCUAAGGAACACCGGUGGCGAAAGCGGCUCACUGGAUCUUUUCUGACGCUGAGGCACGAAAGCUAGGGUAGCGAACGGGA
rnacentral:rRNA from 1 species